rnacentral:lncRNA from 1 species
ACUGUCCUCCCGCCGUUUCUCUCGCGCUUCCAUUCGGCAAACCCGAGCUCUUUGUUCAAUGCCUAGCCACCUAUUCCUACAGACACGGCAGUGGAAAGGAAAAGAAAGUACUGACUUACAGUGAUUUAGCAAACACUGCACAGCAAUCAGAAACUUUUCAGUUUCUUGCAGAUAUAUUACCAAAGAAGAUUUUAGCUAGUAAAUACCUGAAAAUGCUUAAAGAGGAAAAGAGGGAAGAAGAUGAGGAGAAUGACAAUGAUAAUGAAAGUGACCAUGAUGAAGCUGACUCCUAAACCAAAAGUGCUUUAAAAACCAGCCUGGCGAGGACAGCCCUGGACCCACUCCACUGUCUCUAAGUAAACACAGCACUGCCCGCUUUUAGCGUCUUCACUUCUUCACAGAGUUCCAGUGUGUGGUAUUCUUUCGAGGUAUUCUUUCCAGGCCGAGAUUGAGCACCUCAUGUACCUACGCCACAGACAGCCAGAGGGAAAGCGACCCAGACAGCAGCCCCUCCUCGACAGGCCCACCCUGCAGCUCAGGCACCAAGAAAACAGCCGAUACUGGCAGCCAUUGCAGCUCCAAACUGCAGAGGCAAGGCCAAUUUUAACUUUUCAAUUUACAGUCGAUUUUGAAGAGCUUCUACAUAUCGGUUAUGUAAAUUCAUAUAUGUAUAUUUUGGAAUCAGUUCUUAUAAACAGCUCGAUUCAGUUUUAGCUAAAUUUAUAGUUUAGGUAGUAUGUUACAUUUGAAUUUUUGUCUUAAGAAAAGUUGACUGUUCAGAUAUUUUUCUACUGUAAAGAAAUAUACUUUU